GUGGCGAUACGGACACCCACGACUAACAAUCUGAUUAAUGGGCGGACAACAGGCAGCCUACCAUGACAGCUUAUAGACUCAGGCCUAAUAACCUUCAAACUCUGCCUAUAAGAAGAUGCGAAAAAGGAGAUCCCAAAAUUAGCCAUCACUCUGCCUCUCACGCUCUUCCUUCUAUUGAACGAGAUACUAAUUUGAGCAUCGGAGGGUCCUUACCGGAGCUACCUCC
rnacentral:lncRNA from 1 species